GGGGGGCAAGCGUUGUUCGGAAUUACUGGGCGUAAAGGGUUCGUAGGUGGCUUGCUAAGUCAGACGUGAAAUCCCUCAGCUUAACUGGGGAACUGCGUCUGAGACUGGUGAGCUUGAGUGCAGGAGAGGAACGCGGAAUUCCAGGUGUAGCGGUGAAAUGCGUAGAUAUGCGGAGGAACACCGAUGGCGAAGGCAAUCCCCUGGACCUGUACUGACGCUCAUGCACGAAAGCGUGGGGAGCAAACAGG
rnacentral:rRNA from 1 species